rnacentral:rRNA from 1 species
AGUGAACGCUGGCGGUAGGCCUAACACAUGCAAGUCGAACGGCAGCACAGUAAGAGCUUGCUCUUACGGGUGGCGAGUGGCGGACGGGUGAGGAAUACAUCGGAAUCUACUUUUUCGUGGGGGAUAACGUAGGGAAACUUACGCAAAUACCGCAUACGACCUACGGGUGAAAGCAGGGGAUCUUCGGACCUUGCGCGAUUGAAUGAGCCGAUGUCGGAUUAGCUAGUUGGCGGGGUAAAGGCCCACCAAGGCGACGAUCCGUAGCUGGUCUGAGAGGAUGAUCAGCCACACUGGAACUGAGACACGGUCCAGACUCCUACGGGAGGCAGCAGUGGGGAAUAUUGGACAAUCGGCGCAAGCCUGAUCCAGCCAUGCCGCGUCGGUGUAGCAGGCCUUCGGGUUGUAAAGCCCUUUUGUUUGGUAAAAAAAGCAGCAGGUUAAUACCCCGCUGUUCUGACGGUACCCAAAGAAUAAUCACCGGCUAACUUCGUG